AAAAAACCGAGCGAGUGAGAGGUGUGAAAAAAUGGCGACAAACGUGAAAACUUCUAGGAGUGUUUGAAAUUAAAAUAAAACUAUCGUUUUUAAACUAGAAAAGUAUCAACCAUCAAUUACUACAUAUUCCUUCUAUUAUUGAAAUUUAUCCAUAAGAAGUGCUCUAUAUAACACAAAAAAAAACGUAUCCUUUUUAGAUAACCUGUUCCUACCAGAAUACAUAGAAGGAAGACCGCUUUAAAUAAAGAAGUCACAUAUUUGGCAGCGAUGUCGUAUCCACCGCGUCCCCCAAUGGUUCCAACCAUGCAGUCAUUUAUGCCACCGCCGCCGAUUCCACCGCCUGUCAUGUCAUCCAUGGGCACACACAUAAUGCCUCCUUUAUCAACACCACCCCCGCCAACUAGACCAUCAUUUAGAAAUGCUGCAACUAUUAGCUCUCAACCGACCGUCUAUUCAAGGAUUAAUCCAGAUCCGCAUGCGCAGACUCAAUUUAAAGGUCCCAUAAUCACUGUAUUUGUGGGCAACAUAAGUGAACGAAUACCUGAAAUAUUAAUUAAAAGAAUUCUUAGUGCAUGUGGACAAGUGGUCAACUGGAAGAGGGUUUCAACAUUUGGAUUUUGCGAAUACGACGGUCCAACUGCAGGAAUGCGUGCUGUUCGUCUGCUCAGCGAAAUGGAAUUCGAUGGUAAAAAGCUAGUGGCAAAAGUUGAUGCAAAAAAUAAACUCUUAUUGGAUAAUUAUAAGGAAGAGGAGUUAAAAUUGGGCGGCAAGAAAGUAGAACUUGAAAAGGAUGAAGACGCUUACGCUCUUAGUCUUAUGGGUCGAAUUAUGGAAGAACAUAAACACGAACUUCCUCCCGCAAAUGAUGGUAACUACGACAAACGAGACUAUUACAAUAUAAAUUCUAAGAACAACAUUACAGGAAGGCAAGAUAACACCGAUAUCAAGAUGAGUAAAUCUCUACAAGAUGCUAAUCUUGAAGAUGAAAAACGAAAUUUGAUUAGCAGUGAGAUCGGUAAAUUUCGUAAGAAGGCAGAAGCUGAUGAUCAUCGGAAAGAAAAGGAAAAAGACCGUAAGAAACGACAUGAUGAAAAGGAACGUGAUCAUAAGGAACAUAAGGAUCAUAAAGAUAAGGAUAAAGAUAAGGAUAAGGAAACGGAUAAGGAUGAUGAAAAUGAUUGGGAUGCUGAUGAAAAGGAAGUUGUUGUUAAAAAAGAAGUUAAAAGAGACAAAACUGUAGAUGCAUCGCCUUCUAAGAAAGAAAAAGAUCGUGAUUCGAAGGAUAAGAGAAAGAGAAGCAAGUCUCGUUCGAAAGAUCGCGAAAGAGAUCGUGAAAGAGAGAACAGAGAUAGAGAGCGUGAACGUGAACGUGAAAGAGAGCGUGAAAAAGAACGCGAGAAAGAGCGAGAACGCGAACGUGAACGAGAGCGCGAAAGAGAAAGGGAGAGAGAAAGAGAGCGUGAACGUGACAGGGAAAGGGAGCGUGAAAGGGAACGUGAGCGAGAUAGAGAGCGUGAGAGGGAACGUGAAAGAGAUAGAGAGAGGGAAGAAAAAAUCGUAAAAAAUGUACGAGAUAUCCAGCGUGAAAAAGAAAUUGAAGAAGAAAUGCGGGAGCGCAAAAAGUUGGAGAAAAAGGCGCGUGAGAAGGAAGCUGCAUACCAAGAAAGACUGCAAAAUUGGGAACAGCGAGAACGGCGGAAAACAAAAGAAUAUGAAAAGGCAAAAAUGAAAGAAAAUCUGAAACUUGACGAGAGAGAGAAGGAAGCAAAGCGGUUAAAGGAAUUUGUCGAGGACUAUGACGACGACAGAGAUGACCCUAAAUACUACAAAGGCCGGGAACUUCAAAGAAGACUUGCUGAACGUGUCCGAGAAGCUGAUCUAGAUGCCAAAGAUCGCAACCGGGAACAAGAAGAACUCGAUGAGCUUAAGAACAAAAUAUUUAGCGGAGAAUACGAGAACCCAACGCAAGAGUUUGAACGAGCGAAGAAGGAACGUGAGAAACUAUACAAGCCUCAAAUUCUAAUUGACGUUAAUUUAGAAGCACAGCUACGAAAGGAGCGCGAACUUGAAAAGGAGAGAGAGCGAGAAAUGGAAAAAGCCAAACGCCUCAAGGAAAAGGAAAAGAUUGCAGCCGCAAAGGAGAAAUACAUACAGGAGAAGGAGGCACAUGAGGCAGCGAUUGCAGCUACAGUCAUGCAUACAGAACCUAUUGAUUCUGAUUCAAAUGACGAAACAUUAACAUCAAAUCGUGAGUCCAAUACCAAUCACCCAAUCAUCAUGCCGCCAGCUAGACAAGAAUCAGAGUCGAGAGAUAGCGUGUCGAAUCAUUUCCAAGAUGAGGAUUCUCGAGGAUCCAUGGCAUCGUCCAGUCAUGGUUUCAGUCCUGUCAAUAGUCAUAACAAUGUAACAACUCCUGGUACUCCUCCUAUUUCCGCUCCACUUAUAAGUCUCAAUUUAGGAGUUAAUGCUAAGAAGAAAAAAAUCGAGGUUACUUCGGAUGUUUUCAACAAUGAAGAAGACAACGAUGAUCCAAGCAAUCCGAAAAAACGGAAGUUAGUUCCGCUAGAUUAUGAUGAAAAUCAAUUUCCAAACGCCCAAUCUCAAAAUCGUAGUUCACAUCCAACCAAUGCUUCAAGUGCAACUCAUCACUCUGGACAAAAUAACUCUUCCUCCAAAUCGAACUCAAAGAAGCGUGGAGAUAAACACGAAAACAAUGGUGGCAGUGGCAGCAAUAACAAAGAAGACAAUUCCACUAAACUACAAGAAGAGAAACGCCGUCACAUCAAGAGCAUAAUCGAUAGGAUACCAACGCAAAAGAGUGAUCUUUUCAACUAUAAAUUGGAUCGCAAUGAAAUCGACACCAAUCUUAUGGAGAAAAAAAUUCGACCUUGGAUUAAUAAAAAGAUAAUCGAAUACAUUGGCGAACCCGAACCAACCCUCGUUGAUUUCAUUUGCUCCAAAGUCCUAGCGGGUAGUUCACCUCAAAGUAUUUUAGAUGAUGUUCAAAUGGUUCUUGAUGAAGAAGCAGAAGUCUUUGUUGUAAAGAUGUGGCGAUUGCUAAUAUACGAAGUUGACGCAAAGAAAAUUGGCCUGGCCAAUAUAUUAGAGAUGAAGAAAUAAAAACAAAAUAAACAAAGGUUUUCAAUUCUAAUCCCAAUUGGAUUAGAGAGAUGUGUAUGUAUGAAGAUUUUCCAAUGCCGAUUAUCAAUAUGAUGUUUUACCAAUGAUUUUUUGGUAACUGAAUAGCAUUUGUUUUUGUUCUAGCUGUGUUGAGUUCAUAUAUUUAAAUCGUAAUUUUAAUCUAAUCAUUCAAAAUUAACGCUCAAAAGGUCAACUAAACUCAACUUCAAAUGCGUUUCGUCCAGAAAUUAAGUUCACUUGAACUUCUUAUUUUUAAUUUAAACUGCUUAAUAAGUGAUCAGUAAGAAAACAUUCUUUCAAAAUUCAAUGAAGUUAUGAACCGAUUUGGAUUACAAAAUGGUGCUGAUGGAUCUUUCAGAUCAAUAUGAAUUACUGGUACUUAAAGAAGAAGUGUAUAGAAACCGUUUUAUAGUAACUGCAAAAAGUCCUCUCGAGGUGUGUGAUAAGGAAGCUGCUGUUUAUUUUAAUUUGUAAUAAAACAUCGGGUUGUUCGGGAUUAAUAACUCAAAAUGAAAAACAUCACCUUUUAAUCUGUGUUUUAUAACUUCCUGUACAAGUUUCAAUCUAUUAGACGAUACCUUUUAAAUUGCGAGUAUAUACGAUCUUAUAAUGAAUAACUUACUGUCAAUACAGAAAUCGUUGUUUGAUAUAGUAAACAUUUAUAUUUGAACUGCAAUGACAAACGAAAAAAAAAACUUCGCAUGACUUCGAAUUCCAUAGUCAAAAGUAACAUCAACUUUCUCAAGCUUUUUCGAUGACA